rnacentral:rRNA from 1 species
UACGGGAGGCAGCAGUGGGGAAUAUUGCACAAUGGGCGAAAGCCUGAUGCAGCUAUGCCGCGUGUAUGAAGAAGGCCUUAGGGUUGUAAAGUACUUUCAUCGGGGAGGAAAAAACAAAACUAAUAAUUUUAUUUCUUGACGUUACCCGAAAAAGAAGCACCGGCUAACUCCGUGCCAGCAGCCGCGGUAAUACGGAGGGUGCUAGCGUUAAUCAGAAUUACUGGGCGUAAAGAGCACGUAGGUGGUUUUUUAAGUCAGAUGUGAAAUCCCUGGGCUUAACCUAGGAACUGCAUUUUGAAACUGAAAUACUAGAGUAUCGUAGAGGGAGGUAGAAUUCUAGGUGUAGCGGUGAAAUGCGUAGAUAUCUGGAGGAAUACCUGUGGUGAAAGCGGCCUCCUAAACGAAUACUGACACUGAGGUGCGAAAGCGUGGGGAGCAAACGAGGAUUAGAUACC